rnacentral:rRNA from 1 species
GGCGAGUGGCGAACGGUGAGUAAUAUAUCGGAACGUACCUUUCUAGUGGGGAGUAACGUAGCGAAAGUUAACGCUAAUACCGCAUAUUCUGUGAGCAGGAAAAGCAGAAGAUCGCAAGACCUUGCGCUGAUUGAGCGGCCGAUAUCAGAUUAGCUAGUUGGUGAGGUAAAGGCUCACCAAGGCGACGAUCUGUAGCGGGUCUGAGAGGAUGAUCCGCCACACUGGAACUGAGACACGGUCCAGACUCCUACGGGAGGCAGCAGUGGGGAAUUUUGGACAAUGGGCGCAAGCCUGAUCCAGCCAUGCCGCGUGAGUGAAGAAGGCCUUCGGGUUGUAAAGCUCUUUCGGCCGGGAAGAAAUCGCACAGGUUAAUACCCUGUGUGGAUGACGGUACCGGAAUAAGAAGCACCGGCUAACUACGUG